rnacentral:lncRNA from 10 species
GCCCGGCCAAGAAGAUUCUUACAGUAACAAUGCAAUAAACACUACGGAGAUAGAAUCUUAUACGACAUGAAAACUGUCUGAUUAUAGAUGGUAGAGGAAGAGGUAGAACCCAUGGUUAAAGCCUGAGUAUCUAGGGAAUAGUGGUGCUGUUAGAAGAAAAUGGAAUUCACACAGAACCAGGAUAAAGAGGAUAAAGAUGGUCAUUUCAAAACGUUAAGCUUAAAGCACCAAUGAAAAGCAGAUGUGAUGAGGUCUCCCUAGCAAGCCAUUAGUAAAGUGGAACUGACAUUUUCAAGAUAACGGUGGUACAGAUGUGGUGGUUAUCUAUUUAGAUGUGAUAACUGAAACUACAGGACUGGUGAUAACUGAAACUACAGGACUGGGAAAGAGGGCAAUAAAGAUGAUCUGCAUCUGAGAAAUAUCUCCAUUGGGGAUAGGAAGUUUUAUGGGUUGCAUUGUGUUCUCCAAAAAACCUAUGUUUAAGUCCUAACCCCCAGUUCCUAUGAAGGUGACCAUACUUGGAAUUCGUGUCUUUACAGAUGUACUCGAGUUAAAAUGAGGUCAUUUGGGUGGGCCCUAAUCCAAUGUGCCCUGUAAGAGGGAAGUUCUGACACAGAGCAACAUCAUAGGAUGACAUAGGCAGGGAUUGGAGUGACGCGGCUGCAAGCCAAGGAAUGCUAAGGACUGACAGCCACUACCAGGAGCCAGGAAGAGGCAAGAAAGGAUUCUCCCCUGCAGGUUUCAGGCAUUCUGCCAACACCUUGAUUUCAGACUUCUAGCCUCCAGAACGGUGAGACAAAUUUCUGUUGAUUUAAGCCACCUAGUUUGUAGUACUUUGCUACAGUAGCCCUAGGAAAAUCAUACAUAAGUCAUCAGUAUUAUCCUAUCUACAAAGGAGGUAAAGAAGAAACACAAGUAUGCAAUAACAAAUAAACCAAAAGAUGAAAAAGGGAUUGGGAUAGUUAGUAACAUUUGGUUCUGAUAUUCAAAAGAUAAUAAAUUUCCUAAAGUAAUUGGAAGAAUAAUGGCCUCUGACUUCUUGAUCAAGGAGAUUGCAAGUUUUAUUACCAACUCUACCAUCUUAUGAUGGUCUUUUGGUCUUUCUGAUUCUUCCUUGAUAAUAUUUCCUUCAUUAUUUAGUUCGUACUCCUAACUAAUCCAUGUCACUAACAAGUUCAAACAAUAAUCUGAUGCCUGGACUACUGACACACAUUGCUGACCAUUCUCCCUACUUCCAAGUCUCAAUUCUUCAAAUCAGGUAAUUUUCUAAAAUUUUUAAAUCAUAUCAUGCCUCACAUCAUAAAUCUUCAAUGAUUCACCAACACCCAGGUUAAUAUUCUAAUUCUUUAGCCUGGCAUUAAGUUUACCAUAAUACCAUCCUUUAUCCUUAUGCUGAACACUUCACUCAAGUCAUACUGCACUAUCUACAUUAGACAUAGGUUACUUCUUCCCUACACAAACCUUUCUUCAUAGCAUCCUUCUCAUCUAGAAUAGGAUACAAGUAUUCUGAUCCUCCACCCAAUCCCACUAAAUUCUAUCCAUUAUUCAAGAAGGUUCAGUUUGGCUCCUCUUUGACAAGUCCCUGAUAAUUACAAUCCAGGGAACUUUUCUCCUUUUAACACAUUUUAUGUUUGUGCUAAAGAUGUAGCACUUAACAUUAGAUUGUACUAUCGCUUUAACUUUUUACACGCAUACGUCCUAUCUUUCCAGCUGUGCUUUAAGCACCAAAAAGGCACAUACCACAGUUCAUGCUUCUUUAUGUGAAAUGUACUUUCGAUUAAAGCAAAUCACUGUACCUCCAUAAAAUGGGACCGCCACUUACCUCCUACACUUUGUCUUCUCUUUCUCUUAUAUUCACCAGGAGUUUCAUAUUCACCUUCUUCAAAGCCUUCCAGUGAUGGAGUAGCACAGAGACCAUCAAUACCCAACAUGGCUGGUAUCUUUUCCAGGAUAAAAUCUGGUACACGCCCUAAAUGAAAAUGUUCACAAGUAAGACAAUUAUUAUCCUUCCUCCACUCUUCCCCAAAAAUGUUUAGAUACUAAUAUACCAAUUUCUUUUCUUUUUUUCUUUGCAGGAGGGGCCGGUACUGUAGGGUGGGGGUGAGACAUCUUUUCAUGUCCUUCACUUGUCUGAAGAAGAUUCGGUGCAAAUAUUACUGCAAGAUUGCUGCUGUCCAUCUUAUUCUCACUGGAUCUUAAGUGAAUAAACGCUUUAUUAGAUGGAGCCAAACGUGAAAAUACAGAAGAGUUAAAAUAACGUAUGUAGUACAUUUUGAAGACCUUAUUAUCAGUCAUACACAAGUCAAAAUAGUUACCCUUCAUCUACAUGAUUGGCUUGAACACAAGAAAGAACCAGAAAUAUAUAGCCUCUCUAUAUUUAAAUAUGUAUUCUAAAAACCAUGCUAAUCUUAGAGUUCAUACUUUGCUUUUCCACACAAAUUGAACAUCUUUAUCUGAUUUUCAGACCUACACAUAAAAAGUUGGAAGUAUCAGAAGGCAGCAAGUAUGUCUAGAAUAAGCAGGCUCACUGACAGCAGGGAGAGGGAAAUUUUGAAAAGCAAAACAGAAAUAUUUUAAAAACCCAGUAAACAAAGGCUUUCAGUGGACAAUGAAUCUUAUAAACACCAAUGAACCAUUAAGGCAUUCAUGAUGAUGACUUUAAGAUAAGGAAAUAUUAAAUCAUUUGGUAUGCUGUUUCUUAAAUUGGAGUAUACUCCUCAUAGUAAUGAAAUAUGGAAUUUUUAAAGAAAAAUUUCCAUUCCAAAUGAAAUUGUACAUAUCUACAAGCAUAAAACGUUAGUUGAAAAAUUCAACUAUUAUUUGCCAAGAGUUUUAAUUACCACUUACCUAAGAGAAACAUUCCUGAGAAAGUUAAAGAAGUAUCUUAAUACAUGAACUGUGUGGUCAGCCAGAAGACAG